UUUUGUAAAGACUUUUUAGGAAAGAAUUUUCUUGUCAGUCUGAUGGAUUCAGAGGGAAAAGAUCUAAAGGAUAAGUGUGGGCAAGAGGAAAAGACAAAAAUGGAACUAGAAGAAAAUGAGAGAAAGUCUUCAUCAAUAAAUGGAGAAUUAAAGAAAGACUUCGCUAUUGCUCAAACAGUUAAACAGAGGCAACAAAAACAAUAUGGAAAACAAAAAGUCUCUAUCUUAUUCUCAGUGGUAUGUAUACCCAGGGCAUCAGAAC
rnacentral:lncRNA from 1 species